GACGAACGCUGGCGGCGUGCUUAACACAUGCAAGUCGAACGGAAAGGCCCUGCUGUUGUGGGGUGCUCGAGUGGCGAACGGGUGAGUAACACGUGAAUAACCUGCCCUUGACUUUGGGAUAACGUCAGGAAACUGGGGCUAAUACCGGAUAGGAGCUCCUGCUGCAUGGUGGGGGUUGGAAAGUUUCGGCGGUUGGGGAUGGACUCGCGGCUUAUCAGCUUGUUGGUGGGGCAGUGGCUUACCAAGGCUUUGACGGGUAGCCGGCCUGAGAGGGUGACCGGCCAAAUUGGGACUGAGAUACGGCCCAGACUCCUCCGGGAGGCAGCAGUGGGGAAUAUUGCACAAUGGGCGGAAGCCUGAUGCAGCAACGCCGCGUGCGGGAUGACGGCCUUCGGGUUGUAACCCGCUUUAGCCUGUGACGAAGCGUGAGUGACGGUAAUGGGUAAAGAAGCACCGGCUAACUACGUG
rnacentral:rRNA from 1 species